rnacentral:rRNA from 1 species
AUAAGCAACGUGCCCCGAAGACUGGGAUAUACAGCCGAAAGGCUGGGUAAUACCGGAUGUGGCGCACCUAGGGCAUCUUAGGUUCGUUAAAGGGUUCGCUCACUUCGGCGAACGGCUUAUGACCUAUCAGCUUGUUGGUGGGGUAACGGCCUACCAAGGCUACGACGGGUAGGGGGUCUGAGAGGAUGAUCCCCCCGAGUGGGACUGAGACACGGCC